GCUACACUCUGGUCGACCAGAGAAACCCCAGGGGCGACACCCACCAUUCCAAACCCUAGUUCACAAGAAAUCCUGCAAAUUGAAGGCCUUAAUCAGUUAGAAAUCGAAAUCCAAGCAUAGAAUCCUGAUCACCUCGUCAAAGGGAUCCUAAGGCAAGGAAUCCGGGACGUCGAGCGGACACGCCGGAGGAGAUACACGCGGAAAAGGAGUGCUUUAAAGGUGACUUGGAACUAAUCGGAAGAUGGUCGAGCUAA